rnacentral:tRNA from 1 species
GGUGAGUCGAAGCUCUGUGGCGGAGCGCCUGGCUCUUCAUCCGGGUGGCCGCGGGUUCGAAUCCCGCCGCUCACCG